CUAACGAGCAGAUCUGAUUUGAUGCAGGUGUUAGUUUUGGGGAUGAAAAUUUACAGGGUGAUUCCAUAAUUUCUUCUUCUUCUUUUCCUAAGCCUGUAUUCCCGCUUUUGCAGGGUCGGCUGCCUUGGUCUUUGUCCUCCAGGUUUUCCUGUCCUGGGCCUCCUCUGGUCUCACUCCGAAGUGGGUCAUAUCUUCCUUGAUGCAAUCCAUCCAUCUCUUACGAGGUCGUCCUCGGGGUCUCCUUCCCGUUUGACCUUCAGGCUUCUUGGCAUCCUUUUGUCGUUGAUGACUCCGGACAACUCUCUCCACUUGGCCCAAGCUGCUGACACUCUUGCUCUGAUUGUACAUUCGGUUCCUCCAUUCUCUGGUAUUGUUACUCCCAGUGUUCACCUUCAGGCCCAUCCUUUCCAUACCGAUCUGCCACUUCAACCACCUCCUCUGGAGCUCUACCUCAUUUUCGGCAAUUACGGCCAGAUCGUCAGCGAACAGCAGCUCCCAGGGC